CGCCUGCCCAGUGAUAAUUAUUUAACGGCCGCGGUAUUUUGACCGUGCAAAGGUAGCGCAAUCACUUGUCUUUUAAAUGAAGACCUGUAUGAAUGGCUUAACGAGGGCUUAACUGUCUCCUUUUUCCAGUCAAUGAAAUUGAUCUUCCCGUGCAGAAGCGGGAAUAUAACCAUAAGACGAGAAGACCCUAUGGAGCUUCAAACUAAAACAGAUCUUGUUAAACGCAUCUAAUUAAAGAAAUAAACUUAAAAGAACCCUGUCAUUUAUGUUUUUGGUUGGGGCGACCAUGGGGAAACAAACAACCCCCAUGUGGACUGAGAAAACAGUUCUCACAACAAAGAGCCACAGCUCUAAUUAACAGAACUUCUGACCUUGAGAUCCGGCAAUGCCGAUCAACGGACCCAGUUACCCUAGGGAUAACAGCGCAAUCCCCUUUUAGAGUUCAUAUCGACAAGGGGGUUUACGACCUCGAUGUUGGAUCAGGACAUCCUAAUGGUGCAGCAGCUAUUAAGGGUUCGUUUGUUCAACGAUUAAAGUCCU
rnacentral:rRNA from 1 species